rnacentral:rRNA from 1 species
CCUACGGGAGGCUGCAGUGGGGGAUAUUGCACAAUGGGGGAAACCCUGAUGCAGCGACGCCGCGUGGUUGAAGCAGCGCCUCGGCGCGUAAAGCCCUUUCAGCAGGGAAGAAAAUGACGGUACCUGAAGAAGAAGCCCCGGCUAACUACGUGCCAGCAGCCGCGGUAAUACGGAGGGGGCAAGCGUUAUCCGGAUUUACUGGGUGUAAAGGGGGCGCAGACGGCGAUGCAAGCCAGGAGUGAAAGCCCGGGGCCCAACCCCGGGACUGCUCUUGGAACUGCGUGGCUAGAGUGCAGGAGGGGCAGGCGGAAGUCCUGGUGUAGCGGUGAAAUGCGUAGAUAUCAGGAGGAACACCGGUGGCGAAGGCGGCCUGCUGGACUGCAACUGACGUUGAGGCCCGAAAGCGUGGGGAGCAAACAGGAUUAGAGACCCCAGUAGUC